CCUCUUUACAAUGCUACCACUUACAGAUGGGCCCGCGUCCAAUUAGCUAGUUGGUGAUGUAACGGACCACCAAGGCGACGAUUGGUAGCCGAACUGAGAGGUUGAUCGGCCACAUUGGGACUGAGAUACGGCCCAGACUCCUACGGGAGGCAGCAGUGGGGAAUAUUGCGCAAUGGGGGAAACCCUGACGCAGCAACGCCGCGUGAAGGAUGAAGGUUUUCGGAUCGUAAACUUCUUUGAUGGGGGACGAAACAAAUGACGGUACCCCAGGAAUAAGCCACGGCUAACUACGUGCCAGCAGCCGCGGUAAUACGUAGGUGGCGAGCGUUGUCCGGAAUUACUGGGCGUAAAGGGCGCGUAGGCGGUUUGUUAAGUCAGAUGUGAAAACCCAGGGCUUAACCUUGGGAGUGCAUUUGAAACUGAAGGGCUCGAGUGCAGGAGAGGUAAGUGGAAUUCCUAGUGUAGCGGUGAAAUGCGUAGAUAUUAGGAGGAACACCAGUGGCGAAGGCGACUUACUGGACUGUAACUGACGCUGAGGCGCGAAAGCGUGGGGAGCAAACAGGAUUAGAUACCCUGGUAGUCCACGCUGUAAACGAUGGAUACUAGGUGUGGGAGGUAUCGACUCCCCCGUGCCGCAGUUAACGCAAUAAGUAUCCCGCCUGGGGAGUACGGCCGCAAGGUUGAAACUCAAAGGAAUUGACGGGGGCCCGCACAAGCAGCGGAGCAUGUGGUUUAAUUCGAAGCAACGCGAAGAACCUUACCUGGGCUUGACAUCCUGCUAAACUCAUGGAAACAUGAGAGUGCCUCCGGGGGAGAAGAGACAGGUGGUGCAUGGUUGUCGUCAGCUCGUGUCGUGAGAUGUUGGGUUAAGUCCCGCAACGAGCGCAACCCUUGUUGCCAGUUACCAGCGAGUAAAGUCGGGGACUCUGGUGAGACUGCCGGGGAUAACUCGGAGGAAGGUGGGGACGACGUCAAAUCAUCAUGCCCCUUAUGUCUUGGGCUACACACGUGCUACAAUGGCCAGUACAAAGGGCUGCGAAACCGCAAGGGGGAGCGAAUCCCAUAAAGCCGGUCUCAGUUCGGAUCGUGGGCUGCAACCCGCCCACGUGAAGCCGGAGUUGCUAGUAAUCGCGAAUCAGCAUGUCGCGGUGAAUGCGUUCCCGGGUCUUGUACACACCGCCCGUCA
rnacentral:rRNA from 1 species